UCCUACGGGGGGCAGCAGUGAGGAAUAUUGGUCAAUGGACGAAAGUCUGAACCAGCGACGCCGCGUGUGGGAUGAAGGGGCUUUGCCCUGUAAACCACUGUCGGAAGGGAAAAAAAGAAGUAUGAACUUCUGGGAUUGUACCUUCAAAGGAAGGAUCGGCUAACUACGUGCCAGCAGCCGCGGUAAUACGUAGGAUCCAAGCGUUGUCCGGAUUUACUGGGUGUAAAGGGUGCGUAGGCGGGCUCGUGCGUUAGAGGUUAAAUACUUCGGCUCAACCGAAGAAAUGCCUUUAAUACGGCGAGUCUUGAGUGCGAGAGAGGAUAGUAGAAUUCCUGGUGUAGCGGUGAAAUGCGUAGAUAUCAGGAGGAAUACCAGUGGCGAAGGCGGCUAUCUGGCUCGUAACUGACGCUGAGGCACGAAAGCGUGGGGAGCAAACAGGAUUAGAUACCCCGGUAGUC
rnacentral:rRNA from 1 species